rnacentral:rRNA from 1 species
GCAGCGGAGCGUGUGGUUUAAUUCGAUGAUACACGAAGAACCUUACCCAGGCUUGACAUGUUGGUGGUAGGGAUCCGAAAGGUGACCGACCUUCGGGAGCCUUCACAGGUGCUGCAUGGCUGUCGUCAGCUCGUGUCGUGAGAUGUCCGGUUAAGUCCGGUAACGAGCGCAACCCUCGCUGUGUGUUAUAUGUGUCACACGGGACUGCCGGUAUCAAGCCGGAGGAAGGUGGGAUGACGUCAAGUCAGCAUGGCCUUUAUGUCUGGGGCUACACACACGCUACAAUGGCCAGUACAAUAGGUUGCAAGACCGCGAGGUGGAGCCAAUCCUUAAAGCUGGUCUCAGUUCGGAUUGCAGGCUGCAACUCGCCUGCAUGAAGUCGGAGUUGCUAGUAACCGCGCGUCAGCCAUAGUGCGGUGAAUACGUUCCCGGGCCUU